CGGGACGGGUGAGUAAUGUCUGGGAAACUGCCUGAUGGAGGGGGGUAACUGCCGGAAACGGUAGCUAAUACCGCAUAACGUCGCAAGACCAAGAGGGGACCUUCGGGCCUCUUGCCAUCGGAUGUGCCCAGAUGGGAUUAGCUAGUAGGUGGGGUAACGGCUCACCUAGGCGACGAUCCCUAGCUGGUCUGAGAGGAUGACCAGCCACACUGGAACUGAGACACGGUCCAG
rnacentral:rRNA from 1 species